AAAGUAUUGAAGCUAGUUUUCUUUUAUUAUAAUUUCAUCAAAUCGGUGAGGGAAGCCAAAGUGGUCUUCCUCUCCAUGAUGUAUAUGUAGCUAAGCACUAUCUUUCUGAAGCUGUAACUUAGUAAUGGUUUAUCUGACCUUAUACUACUUUAACACUUAAGGAACGUGCCUUCUCGGUUCAUUAGUUUCGUGAGGCAUCAUGUACAAGAAGCUUCUACAGCUAAACUUUUUGCGACUCCUUUACAUGGAUCACCAAAUGCAUUUAUUGAAACUCCAAGACUACAGCUUUUUGAUCCAAUGCAAGCCUUCUUUACAAUUGAAAGAGCAUUGCUGCUACUGCAUCGACCAUGGAUAAAGCUCCCGCAUGUUCCUUGAGGAGUGCCAAAGCUUGCAAAUUUGAUUGAUGAGAUGACUUGAUUAGGAUGAGGGCACUCAAGAGAUAGAGUUGGCCCUGACUUUUUUCGUGCAUCGUCUUCCGAAGCCCACAUAUCAAUAGGAAGUGGAUGAGCAUCAGAUAUUCUUGAGCAUACACUUUGUAUCUCUCUUGUUGCAAAAGACAGCUUCGUAGGAUCCCCGCCCAUUUCCUCAAACAACACCAAGACAUUUCCACUGGAUUUCAGCCAUGAACGAGGAACGUGGUAUAGCAGCUGGGAUGGUUUUCCACAAUUUUUGAGACAUUUUUCAGCAUUGUAUCCUCCUCUAUAAUUGCAGGGGUCAGUACAACCGUCAUUCGGUGCAAUAUAGGCAGGCCAAAAUCGACCGAUGCUUUGCCCAUUCACCCAUGCCUCACCCUUCCCCAUUCCAGUAAAAUCCAUCGAAAGAGGGGUAUCACCAGCAGGAGCAUCAAAACUUGCCUUAUACCAUAUUAAUGGUUGGUUUGUAGGCAAUGCAGUUUGUGACUUCCAAAGUGUAGAACCUCCAUUAGAUAAGCCCAAAUCUUCUCCUUUCAAUCCAACCUGAUAUGUCCACUGCUUUGAUGAAAGAUCAGUAGUAGAGCCAUUUUUGAAACCUUUCAAUUGCACUGGACCCGUAAUCCCUGCUCCCUUGAGAUCAAAGAAUGCUCCAUAGUUCUGAAGUCCCACAGUCGCACUCAACAGGUCAAUUUUGUUUUCUCCAGGCACAAGUGUGACUGGAACUUCAAUUGUAAAGUUAGAAUGUCUACUGUUGCCUUUUCCACUUCCUGAUAGCUUUCCAUUAAUAUAAGCAUGAAGAACAUGGCCAAGUGUUUUCACAUGAAGUACCGUUGCAGAUCCAUCUUGAAGGAAAGGCUCAUCAUUUUUUAUAUUGACACUCAGGGAGUACCAGAGAUAAUCGCUUUUAUCAGCUGUAGUAUUUAUCUGUUCCAACAACCCCAUUCUCGUGAAUGCAUUUUCAUUUGAGAUGCCUACAGGCUCAUUCACCGAAGUCCAACCUGAUAGGGAUCCACCAGAUGCAUCAGCUUCCGAAGACCGAGUAACAAAUGUUGAGAUGGUUGAUGCAGAAUUAAUCUUUGCAGUACUAAAAGCAACAUUCUUGCAGUCAGGUAAAAUGCUGACGGACCAUGGAGGUAAAUGAUAUGAGUUUCCAUUGAAGCUCACAGCCGCAUCAGAUUGCGUAGCAGUAUUGGCGAGAAAUGCAGCACACUGUGAAUCAGUUUUAUAAACACUGACCUCUAUAUUAGAGCCCAGAGAAGUGAUGUUUGGUUCUGUUGCCACCAUUGCAGCCUCACAAAGCUUUAUGGCUUUAUGGAGAUCUUUCAAGUGACCCCAUUUUGGUUGAUUUAUAAGCCCGUACUCAUCUAAAGGAGCAUCAUAGUCAUAGCUAGUUGCAAUAAACGGUCCACCACUGGUUCUCCCAAAGUUAGUUCCCCCGUGGUACAUGUAAUAGUUCUGGAAAGUUCCGCCUCGCUGGAAAAAUCGAGCCACAGCGAAAGCGAUGUCUUCCACUGGUCUGUAAGGGACAGGACCACCAAACGACAGAAACCAUCCGGUCCAAUUCUCAGUCCACAUCUUGGGUGUUUUAUCGGAAUUUUGCUUGAAUUGGUCACAAUAAAAUCCAUUGCAAGUGUUAAUAACGGAAGGAGGGGCAUCUGGUUGCUGACACAUAACCCAUGGCACUCCCGUAUUUAAAGACGUAGCCAUUGAUGCUGCCCAGUUCACGUAAGGUUUGGCACGAGGACCAUAACGAGACUCAAUAUCACCAUUGCCAUACUCAUUUUCUAUCUGAGACAAGAUAACCGGCCCACCCUGGGAUGCAUAUAGAUUUUCUUGCUUGAUCAUGUCAACAAUUUUAGCUGUGAAUCGCUUCAUUUCUGCCUUGAACGGUUCAUUGUCGGUUCGAAAUUCAAUUCCAGGAAUGAAAUGCAACCAAAGAGGAAACCCACCAUAGUUCCAUUCUGCACAAACAUAAGGCCCAAUCCUUAUAUGAACAAAUAAGCCAGCUUUCUCCACCAACUUCACAAAAUUAAUCAAAUCUUUCCUUCCUUCAAAAUCAUACUGAUUUCGAACAGGUUCAUGAAGGUUCCAGAAAACAUAAGUCUCUAU
rnacentral:misc_RNA from 1 species